CGGAGCUACAGAAGAAGGUUA
rnacentral:snRNA from 1 species